AUGAACGCUGGCGGCGUGCCUAAUACAUGCAAGUCGAGCGAACAGACGAGGAGCUUGCUCCUCUGACGUUAGCGGCGGACGGGUGAGUAACACGUGGAUAACCUACCUAUAAGACUGGGAUAACUUCGGGGAACCGGAGCUAAUACCGGAUAAUAUAUUGAACCGCAUGGUUCAAUAGUGAAAGACGGUUUUGCUGUCACUUAUAGAUGGAUCCGCGCCGCAUUAGCUAGUUGGUAAGGUAACGGCUUACCAAGGCAACGAUGCGUAGCCGACCUGAGAGGGUGAUCGGCCACACUGGAACUGAGACACGGUCCAGACUCCUACGGGAGGCAGCAGUAGGGAAUCUUCCGCAAUGGGCGAAAGCCUGACGGAGCAACGCCGCGUGAGUGAUGAAGGUCUUCGGAUCGUAAAACUCUGUUAUUAGGGAAGAACAAAUGUGUAAGUAACUAUGCACGUCUUGACGGUACCUAAUCAGAAAGCCACGGCUAACUACGUG
rnacentral:rRNA from 1 species